GAUGAACGCUGGCGGCGUGCCUAAUACAUGCAAGUCGAGCGAACAGACCAGGAGCUUGCUCCUCUGACGUUAGCGGCGGACGGGUGAGUAACACGUGGAUAACCUCCCUAUACGACUGGGAUAACUUCGGGAAACCGGAGCUAAUACCAGAUCAUAUAUUGAACCGCAUGGUUCAAUAGUGAAAGACGGUUUUGCUGUCACUUAUAGAUGGAUCCGCGCCGCAUUAGCUAGUUGGUAAGGUAACGGCUUACCAAGGCAACGAUGCGUAGCCGACCUGAGAGGGGGAUAGGCCACACUGGAACUGAGACACGGUCCAGACUCCUACGGGAGGCAGCAGUAGGGAAUCGUACGCAAUGGGCGAAAGCCGGACGGAGCAACGCCGCGUGAGGGAUGAAGGUCUGCGGAUAGUAAAACUCUGUUAUUAGGGAAGAACAAAUGUGUAAGUAACGAUGCACGUCUUGACGGUACCUAAUGAGAAAGCCACGGCUAACUACGUG
rnacentral:rRNA from 1 species